UAGAGAAUCUUACUACAGAAUUGUUGUUGUGAGUGAGGUGGCCUAACAGCAUACCACUAAAAAGGUUUUCAUAUCAGAGUGAUGCUGGCUUCAUAGAACGAGUUUGAGUCGGGCUCUGCCACCCAGGAUGAAGUUCAGCGGCAUGAUUUCAGCUCACUGUAAAACUCCGCCAUCAGGGAUAAGUCAUCCUCCCACUUCAGUCUCCUGAGUAUCUGGGACUACAGGCACGUGCCACCAUACCUGGCUUUUUUUUUUUUUUUUUUUUUUUCGGUGGAGACACAGUUUUUCCAUAUUGCUCAGGCUGGUCUUGAACUCCUGGGCACAAGGUAUCUGCCUGUCAUGGCCUCCUAAAGUGCUGGGAUUGCAGACGUGAACCCCUGUGCCUGGCUGACUUAUUUUUAAAUAACUUCUGAAAAUGCACAAAGCUUAAUUGUGUAGCUUGGUAUAUUUUCACAAAUGUAUACACUUCUGUAACUAUUACCCAACUCAAAAUAAAAAAAA
rnacentral:lncRNA from 10 species